rnacentral:lncRNA from 1 species
CUGAUCCAAUCCUAACCAAUCCAAAGGAAGGGCUGGCCCAGUGCCACUCUCACAGCCUGUUAAAAAGGUCAGCAAAUAAUGGAGGUUUGCUGCGUGGGUUUGUGGUGGUCACGACUCGCAACAUAUGAAAGUCAUUGAUACUAACACAUGCCAUUGCCCGCCCACUGCACAUGCUCUCUGUCUCCCUUCUCCCCUACAAUCCACGCACUUUUCUUCCCUUUUUUUUUUUUUCCCUUUUAUUUUCUUUCUUUCUUUCUCUUUUCUUUUUCUCUAUAGCUAUCCGAUCAAUCCAUCUCAUGGACUCAUCACAAGAC